AGUGAACGCUGGCGGUAGGCCUAACACAUGCAAGUCGAACGGCAGCACAGUAAUAUCUUGCGCUUACGGGUGGCCAGUCGCGGACGUGUCACGAAUACAUCGUAAUCUACUUUUUCGUAUAAGUUAACGUAGGGAAACUUACUCUAAUACCGCAUACGCCCUUCCGUUGAAAGCGUUGGAUCUUCUGACCUUGCGCGAUUGGAUUCGCCGAUGUCGGAUUAGCUAGUUGGCGGGGUAAAGACCCAGCAAGUCGACGAUCCGUAGCUUGUCUGAGAGGAUGGUCAGCCACACUGGAGCUGAGACACGGUCAAGACUCCUACGGGAGGCAGCAGUGGGGAAUAGUGGACAAUGGGCGCAAGCCUGAUCCAGCCAUACCGCGUGGGUGAAGAAGGCGUUCGGGUUGUAAAGACCUUUUGUUGGGAAAGAAAAGCAGCAGGUUAAUACCAAGCUGGUCUGACGGUACCGAAAGAAUAAGCACCGGCUAACUUCGUG
rnacentral:rRNA from 1 species